rnacentral:rRNA from 1 species
UACAGAGGUCUCAAGCGUUGUUCGGAUUCAUUGGGCGUAAAGGGUGCGUAGGCGGCGCGGUAAGUCGGGUGUGAAAUCUCGGAGCUUAACUCCGAAACUGCAUUCGAUACUGCCGUACUUGAGGACUGGAGAGGAGACUGGAAUUUACGGUGUAGCGGUGAAAUGCGUAGAUAUCGUAAGGAAGACCAGUGGCGAAGGCGGGUCACGUGGCCCGAUACUGACGCUGAGGCACGAAAGCGUGGGGAGCAAACAGG